rnacentral:rRNA from 1 species
UACGUAGGGUGCGAGCGUUGUCCGGAAUUACUGGGCGUAAAGAGCUCGUAGGUGGUUUGUCGCGUUGUCCGUGAAAACUCACAGCUUAACUGUGGGCGUGCGGGCGAUACGGGCAGACUGGAGUACUGCAGGGGAGACUGGAAUUCCUGGUGUAGCGGUGGAAUGCGCAGAUAUCAGGAGGAACACCGGUGGCGAAGGCGGGUCUCUGGGCCUUACCUGACGCUGAGGCGCGAAAGCUAGGGGAGCGAACAGG